UUUUCAUCUGAGUUAUUUAAAUAUAUUUUAAUGUGAAUAUUUGUUUAACAUCAUGUGUUUAUAAUCUCUAGAUACUUUUGAGAAUCUGGAUUUAGACGAAAGUUUGGAACAGAUCCUUGAAGAGCUAUUUGACGAGGCGCAACUAAAUGCCUGUGAUGAUGACUGAGAAGUUAAUAACGGUGAGCACGAUGCUUCUGACAGCCACGUGGUAAUAUUACCUACAGAGGAGGCGUUGCAAGAGGUUGUAGUUAAGACGGAAUCACGUCACGAGCUAAACAACGUCACACAACCCACCCCCGACCACGUUACGUCUUCAGAGGAUGGGUCUCACACGCUCACCGCCUGCGCGAGUGUACACACCCCAGGUACAUCCAGUCCCCCAACGCAACGAUUGAGACCCCCGCAUCCAGGCGGUCAGGGUAUAAAACGGUUGAGGUUACCGGAGCAGGAUGCGGAUGACUCGCCGACCACCACACGUUUAAGGACUUCAGACAAUAAUGAACAAGGCUACGGUGAGGGUGAUCUAACAGCGUGGUCUGAUUCGAUGAUCCACGCGUGGGAUCAGAUAUCCUUCACCGAUUCGGAGAGUGAGGAAGAGGCUGAAUUACCUCAUGAAAUUCCUCAGGAACUGUUCCGUGAUUGCGAUUUAAAUAGAAGGCUUGAUUAUGAUAUGCUGAGCCGUGUUAAUCGGUACUUUGAGAGACUUUUCGACUUGGCCGG